rnacentral:lncRNA from 1 species
CAAAGCCCAAGCUGCCCAAGAUCUUCAGAUUUGUGCCUGUUCUACAUGUUAGGCAUUUUUGAAUAAUACUCACAAUCUGUAGUUUUUAUCAGCACUUAUACUUUCAAAAAAUCUCUCACACACACUGCUGCACAAGUAAUUUUAAUGGGGCAAUCUAACUGAUUGAAAAUAGCAACUUUACUUUUAUAUUUCUCUGUUUUCCAAGGUUCUGUCAAAACUCAACCUCACACCUGAGAAGAGCUCAAGAAAGCAGGUCCAUUAGAAUUUGGUUUUAUUAAAGAGGAAGACCUCACAAAGAUUCCCCACCAACCCCUUACCAGGAAAACUAGAUGCAAGAAAUGAAAACACCUGCAGAAAAUCCCAGAAGGCUUUGCUAUGCUCCUGGUACAUGUUCUCUUGUCUCUGGCAGAAGUGGGCAACUUAGCCACAAAGGAUGGGAGGCAGAGAACAACACAUCCUCCCUCACACAAGAGAAGGACAGUGGUCACAGAGCCCCUGUCACCCCUCUCUUGCAUGCCCACCCUAUUUCUCUGGUGUCUUCCACAAUAUCUUGGGCAGGGAACAUCUAUAACACGGGGUGAGUAGUUAACAGCAAAAUGUCCUCUGUCUCUGUGCGUAUUGAUUAGUUUUUGU